rnacentral:rRNA from 1 species
GCAAAACGCGAAGAACCUUACCUACUCUUGACAUCUACGGAAGACUGCAGAGAUGCGGUUGUGCCUUCGGGAACCGUAAGACAGGUGCUGCAUGGCUGUCGUCAGCUCGUGUUGUGAAAUGUUGGGUUAAGUCCCGCAACGAGCGCAACCCCUAUCCUUAGUUGCCAGCGAGUUAAGUCGGGAACUCUAGGGAGACUGCCGGUGAUAAACCGGAGGAAGGUGGGACGACGUCAAGUCAUCAUGGCCCUUACGAGUAGGGCUACACACGUGCUACAAUGGUACGUACAGAGGGAGGCAAGCUGGCGACAGUGAGCGGAUCUCUUAAAGCGUAUCGUAGUCCGGAUCGCAGUCUGCAACUCGACUGCGUG